UUUUUUUUUUCCCUUAAGAAAGGAAAGAGAAAGUCCAACCACUACGGCAAUACUUUUAAGCUCUACUAAAUGAUCGUAUCCUUUCUGGCUUCGAAACUUUUGUACCUAAAAAUCGAGAGAGGCGCUGCAUUUUUUCAGUUGAAACUGUCAAAACUUGGAGAAGGGGGACCUCGGAGGCAGGCAGGAGAGGAGGAGAAUCCUGAAAACUCGGUGGAGGUUGGGAAGAUGCUGUGCCUCGAGGAUUAGUUUAAACAGGGGGCUAUAAAAGAUGUAACAGAUGCAAACUGUAACACAAGGGCCAUUAACCCUUUCUCUGCCGGGCACACUCAGUCCCCACGCCCCACACCUAUUGUCUCCUGUGCUAGAAGCUUUGCAGAAAACCUGGAAAGAGAGAGACGAGAGACCCUGAAACACGCGCCACCUAUCUUUGUGGGGAGGGAUAAUUGAAGCGCCCUGAGCGUGAGCAUCAUGUGAAAACGUGAUCGCCAAGUUUCUCUCUGGGAAAGGAUCUGGGAUAGAUUAUACCUUGAAGUCUCCGCAAACGCUUUAGUGGAAGAAAUGAAAUUCCACCUCCCUCCCUUCCUCCUCUCCCUCCCUUUCGCCUUCGCCUCCCUCCCCCCUCCCUCCCUUCUCCCCCCCUCCACCCCCCCC
rnacentral:lncRNA from 1 species